ensembl:lncRNA
AGGGGACUGGGUGAGCAAUGGGAGUGGGUGAGAAACAGGGGAGUGGGUGAGAAACAGGGGACUGGGUGAGAAACAGGGGAGUGGGUGAGAAACAGGGGAGUGGGUGAGAAACAGGGGAGUGGGUGAGAAACAGGGGAGUGGGUGAGAAACAGGGGAGUGGGUGAGAAACAGGGGAGUGGGUGAGAAACAGGGGAGUAGGUGAGAAACAGGGGAGUAGGUGAGAAACAGGGGAAUAGGUGAGAAACAGGGGAGUGGGUGAGAAACAGGGGAGUGGGUGAGAAACAAGGGAGUAGGUGAGAAACAGGGGAGUAGGUGAGAAACAGGGGAGUAGGUGAGAAAGGGUAUAGAAUCUAUGGCAGGUCAAAGGCUACUUCAGGCCCU